GAUGAACGCUGGCGGCGUGCCUAAUACAUGCAAGUCGAGCGAACGGACGAGAAGCUUGCUUCUCUGAUGUUAGCGGCGGACGGGUGAGUAACACGUGGAUAACCUACCUAUAAGACUGGGAUAACUUCGGGAAACCGGAGCUAAUACCGGAUAAUAUUUUGAACCGCAUGGUUCAAAAGUGAAAGACGGUCUUGCUGUCACUUAUAGAUGGAUCCGCGCUGCAUUAGCUAGUUGGUAAGGUAACGGCUUACCAAGGCAACGAUGCAUAGCCGACCUGAGAGGGGGAACCGCCACCCCGGAACUUAGACACCGUCCCGACUCCUACGGGAGGCAGCAGGAGGGAAUUCUCCCCAAUGGGCCGAAGCCUGACGGAGCAACCGCGGGGGAGUUAUGAAGGGCCUCCGAUUCUAAAAACCUGUUAUUAGGGAAGAACAUAUUGGUAAGGUACCGGGCACAUCUUGACGGUACCCAAUCAGAAAGCCACGGCUAACUACGUG
rnacentral:rRNA from 1 species